GUGAAUCAUCGAAUCUUUGAACGCAAAUUGCACUCUCUUCGGAGAGUAUGCCUGUUUGAGGGUCAGUAUUAAUAAAAAUCGGCGUGUUGCUCUUUUGUGACGUUCCGGAGUUUGGGUCAUCUUAUAACAACACCCUUUCAGGGAUUUUUUAAGAGACCUAAAAUUGAUACUUUGUGCAUCUCAGACGUACAUAAAGAAUAUUUUUUUUUUUUAUCCGUCCGGAGUUGCCAAAUUUUUAUUAGGUAUGAACAUGUUAUUUUGUGGUAUCGUACCUAUAAUAUACUCAUUUUUUGACCUCAAA
rnacentral:misc_RNA from 1 species